UACGUAGGGAGCAAGCGUUGUCCGGAAUCAUUGGGCGUAAAGCGCGCGUAGGCGGCCCUGUAAGUCCGCUGUGAAAGUCAAAGGCUCAACCUUUGAAUGCCGGUGGAUACUGCAGGGCUAGAGUCCGGAAGAGGCAAGUGGAAUUCCUGGUGUAGCGGUGAAAUGCGCAGAUAUCAGGAGGAACACCAGUGGCGAAGGCGGCU
rnacentral:rRNA from 1 species